rnacentral:rRNA from 1 species
GACGAACGCUGGCGGCGUGCUUAACACAUGCAAGUCGAACGGUAAGGCCCUUCGGGGUACACGAGUGGCGAACGGGUGAGUAACACGUGGGUGAUCUGCCCUGCACUUCGGGAUAAGCCUGGGAAACUGGGUCUAAUACCGGAUAGGACCACUGCCUGCAUGGGUGGUGGUGGAAAGCUUUUGCGGUGUGGGAUGGGCCCGCGGACUAUCAGCUUGUUGGGGGGGUGAUGGCCUACCAAGGCGACGACGGGUAGCCGGCCUGAGAGGGUGACCGGCCACACUGGGACUGAGACACGGCCCAGACUCCUACGGGAGGCAGCAGUGGGGAAUAUUGCACAAUGGGCGCAAGCCUGAUGCAGCAACGCCGCGUGAGGGAUGACGGCCUUCGGGUUGUAAACCUCUUUUAGUAGGGAAGAAGCGAAAGUGACGGUACCUGCAGAAAAAGCACCGGCUAACUACGUGCCAGCCGCCGCCGUAA